UGGGGAAUCUUCGGCAAUGGGGGGAACCCUGACCGAGCAACGCCGCGUGAGUGAAGAAGGUUUUCGGAUCGUAAAGCUCUGUUGUUAAGGAAGAACGAGUGUGAGAAUGGAAAGUUCAUACUGUGACGGUACUUAACCAGAAAGGGACGGCUAACUACGUGCCAGCAGCCGCGGUAAUACGUAGGUCCCGAGCGUUGUCCGGAUUUAUUGGGCGUAAAGCGAGCGCAGGCGGUCAAUUAAGUCUGAUGUGAAAGCCCCCGGCUCAACCGGGGAGGGUCAUUGGAAACUGGUUGACUUGAGUGCAGAAGAGGAGAGUGGAAUUCCAUGUGUAGCGGUGAAAUGCGUAGAUAUAUGGAGGAACACCAGUGGCGAAGGCGACUCUCUGGUCUGUAACUGACGCUGAGGUUCGAAAGCGUGGGUAGCAAACAGG
rnacentral:rRNA from 1 species